rnacentral:rRNA from 1 species
UGGGGAAUAUUGCACAAUGGGCGCAAGCCUGAUGCAGCCAUGCCGCGUGUAUGAAGAAGGCCUUCGGGUUGUAAAGUACUUUCAGUCGGGAGGAAGGUGUCAAGGUUAAUACCUUUGCUCAUUGACGUUACCCGCAGAAGAAGCACCGGCUAACUCCGUGCCAGCAGCCGCGGUAAUACGGAGGGUGCAAGCGUUAAUCGGAAUUACUGGGCGUAAAGCGCACGCAGGCGGUUUGUUAAGUCAGAUGUGAAAUCCCCGGGCUCAACCUGGGAACUGCAUCUGAUACUGGCAAGCUUGAGUCUCGUAGAGGGGGGUAGAAUUCCAGGUGUAGCGGUGAAAUGCGUAGAGAUCUGGAGGAAUACCGGUGGCGAAGGCGGCCCCCUGGACGAAGACUGACGCUCAGGUGCGAAAGCGUGGGGAGCAAACAGG